AUGUAUUUUACUGCAGUAUAAUCUGUUGUACCAAGAUCUGAAGAGGUUUUCCAAGAAUGGGGAGAAUUUCUGUAAGGAACUCAUGGGUGUAUUUCAACAAAGGGCUGAACUUGAGCUCAACUAUGCGAAAGGCCUUCAAAAACUUGCAGGGAAACUCCUCAAAGUCUCCAAAGGGAUGUCCAGCAAUUCCACGUACAGUGCAUGGUCCCUGGUGUCAGAUGAAAUGUACUCAACAGCAGACACACACAGAGCACUGGGAACUGCUUUUCAACAGGAGGCUAUCCUGGAAAUACGACAGAUAUUAGAGGAGCACAACAAAAGGAAGAGGCCUGUAUGAAGGGUUUUUAAAUCAGUCUCUCUCUGCCUCUUCUUUCUCUCGCUCUCUCUCUCUCGCUCUCUCUCUCUCUCUCUCUCUCUCUCUCUCUCUCUCUCUCUCUCUCUCUCUCUCUCUCUCUCUCUCUCUCCCUGUCUCUCUCUAGCACUCGCUCUCUCCCUGU